AAACAAGUAAAAAAUAAUUAACUCUUAUCAUUAUAAAAAUAGUUAAUUAUACAAAAAAUAAAUAAAUGGAUCAAUAAUUUUAUUAAUGAAUGACGAAAUCAACAAAAUAAUUAAGUCGUAAAACAAAACAAAACGCAACACAACUAAUAAUUAAAUAAACAAAAAAUAAAAACAAACAUUUCUGUCAAAAAAACAAAAAGAAUAAUAAGCAAAUAAAAAAAUAAAUAAUAAAAAAAACACGUGGGAGUAGUCUUGUUAUAGGCGAAUGUAGUGCAGUGGAAAUAUUAAUCGCUCUUUAAUCUUCGUUAUUUCACCUCAAACGGGAGUGUGUGUGCUUGGAGGACCUGAGCCACCUCCACCCCACCCCUGGGGCUUCCUGCCCCAGGAGGAGGAGGAGGAGGAGGAGGAGGAGGAGGAGACGCGGGUGCCCCCGGGGGACGUGACAGCGGUGACGACGAGCCCCCCGUCCUGCACCCCCUGGCCCCCAAGCCCCACCCCACCUACCACCAGCCACACCAGUCCCCACAGCAGCCUCCGUCACCCGCCCCACACCAGGAGCACCUGCCCCAGGACUGCCUGCCCCGCCCCCACAAGACACCGCCCCCAGCCUCCCCUGUCCAGAAGGAGCGCGCCCCUCACAGUUCCAUUACCCUUAUGAUGCAGCCAAGGGGACUGACGCCACCACCACCACCACCACCACCACCACCACCACCACAACAAGGGUUAUUCAAGUGGGGAACAUGCUUCAGGUGUUGCCCCAAGAUGCCUCAGCCCCGCAGCCCCACUCCGCCAUGAUAGUGCAGACAGGGAAUGUCAUACAGGUUGUUCCAGCUGACAACAUGCAGGUGUUAGGGGCAGAAGUUGUUGGAGUUGGUGGGAUCAUGCAAGUGGUCGGGGUCCCAGGCUCUCCCAAACCAGCUCCCCAUCUGUGCCUAUGCAGUGUCUGGCCAGCCACUAGUGUGUUUUGGGGACUCAGACCAGCAGAUUCCCACUGUUUAUCCACUGUUUGUCUUGAUGCAGUGUCUGGCCAGCCACUUGUGUGUUUUGGGGAUUCAGACCAGCAGAUUCCCACUGUUUAUCCACUGUUUGUGUUGAUGCAGUGUUUGGCCAGCCACUAGUGUGUUUUGGGGACUCAGACCAGCAGAUUCCCACUGUUUAUCCACUGUUUGUGUUGAUGCAGUGUUUGGCCAGCCACUUGUGUGUUUUGGGGACUCAGACCAGCAGAUUCCCACUGUUUAUCCACUGUUUGUGUUGAUGCAGUGUUUGGCCAGCCACUUGUGUGUAUGUAGGGGACUCAGACCAGCAGAUUCCCACUGUUUAUCCACUGUUUGUGUUGAUGCAGUGUCUGGCCAGCCACUAGUGUGUAUGUAGGGGACUCAGACCAGCAGAUUCCCACUGUUUAUCCACUGUUUGUGUUGAUGCAGUGUCUGGCCAGCCACUAGUGUGUUUUGGGGACUCAGACCAGCAGAUUCCCACUGUUUAUCCAUUGUUUGUGUUGAUGCAGUGUCUGGCCAGCCACUUGUGUGUUUUGGGGACUCAGACCAGCAGAUUCCCACUGUUUAUCCACUGUUUGUGUUGAUGCAGUGUUUGGCCAGCCACUUGUGUGUAUGUAGGGGACUGAGACAAAUUUAUUUACUGUUCAGUGACCCGUUUGCAGGCACAGGGGUGUUGACGAGCUGGGUGUGCAGGAGACAGACAAUUAGAAAGGUUUACAGUUCAAAUGCUACAUGUAUCUUCAAAAUACAGAUAAUAAGUAGAUAAAUAUUGAAAUUAAUAUAAAAUACCAUUGUGUAUUUAACACUUAACCAAACUUAACCAACGUACACACACAAACGCUAACUCCGACAGUACCCUAACUACCUUGCCAUCCCGCAGGAGGCCACGUCGGAGGUGCCUGUGGUGGGCUCGCCAGUUCUGGAGUACGAGGUGGAGGAGGAAGAGGAAGAGGAGGACGAGGAGGAGGCACGGAUGAGGAAGAAGAAAAGAUCAUUAGCUGUAGCUCUCCCUCCAGCUGAUAAGGGGAUAUUAAUGAGGCCUUCCUACAGGAGUGUGUGUGCUUGGAGGACCUGAGCCACCUCCACCCCACCCCACCCUGACACACACACACACACACACACACACACACACACACACACACACACACACACACACACACACACACACACACACACACACACACACACACACACACACACACACACACACACACACACACACACACACACACAACCAGACACCCCUAAACACCCCAAAACACACCCACUCCCCCUUGCUUACACUUACACAGAUGUUCCCCACCCCUCUGCCGAGAGGUACUCUCCCAGCUGUGUCACAGCUGAUGAUGAUGAUGCCACCCCCACCCCCAGCCUGAGCCACCCUCCUUCCACCCCAGCCCUCACCAAGCCUCCUCCAGUAACCCUCACCACCACCACCACCACCACCAGCGACGUAACACCCCACCCCACCCCUCCCCAGACCACAGGCAAGGUGACAGGCAAGGCAUGUGAGGUGCGUCACAGCUUUAGUAACUUAUGCAGGCAGUGGUGCAAUGCUAUGCCCACAACACUCAUUCACUUUGCUGUUUAUAUGUAUAAGAUGAGUACUGGCUAAGGGUAAGACAAAUUCUUGCAGGUGUGUGUGUGUGUGUGUGUGUGUGUGUGUGUGUGUGUGUGUGUGUGUGUGUGUGUGUGUGUGUGUGUGUGUGUGUGUGUGUGUGUGUGUGUGUGUGUGUGUUUAGGAGCCCAUUAAAUAUUGGUUGUUGUUAGAAAUGGAAGAGGCUCUGAGGGACUUUGAAAAGGUUGCUUAUAUCAGUGAAAUGAGUAGGUGUGUUCUUGGAGACAGAAGCAGCAUGUGGCCUGGCCACAUUAACUCAAUGACUGAGAUAAGGAAGGUUACAGUGAUGCGUGUAUCUGAAAUGUUGGUCUGGUUGGAUCAUAAGACUCAAAAUUCUCAAACGCUUCUGCACUGCACCUCCACUACAUUAAAAAAAGCUCUCUAGUUGAUGUUACACAGGUUUCUAAGGGUGUAUUUAUGGUUCUAGUGGCAUAUUAACAAGAAUUCCACAUUAAUAACAUGAUAAACACUCUUGAGAACCCGGCUGAUCAUCUCUGUGGCCUUGGAAAAUAGUCAUGGCAAGAGAGCAAGGCGUUUCAGAAUAGGGCCCUUGUAAUUAAACUAACCCAAGCUUCCAUACUAAUUCACUGGCACUUGUCUUCCAGGUGAGCCAGAAUGAACUUGUUAAACUGAGCGGCCUCUUCAAGUACCACUGGAACUGUUCGUCAGAGGAGGAGGAGGAGGUAAGGGAGUGCGCCAAGACCCUUUACAGCGGUGCAAUGGAGUGGAGGGAGAUGAGGAGAAAUUUGAAAGAGAACAGAAGUAGAAUGACAUCAGAUAGCAGGAGUCCUUAGGAUUUAGCACAAUAAGAUCAAUAAUUCUCUUACAUGAGUGACCUAAAGUAAGGCAGUUUAGUCUGGCCUAACUUAACUGACCUACCUAUUUCUGUUAUGAGCUAAGAUAGGCUAUGUUAGGUUAUAUUAAAUUAUAUAAUUAUUAUUUUUUUCAUCAUUAUUAUUAAAGAAAGGAAAUAGAACCGAGAAAAUAAAGUUAAAAAUUAUUGUUA